GUCGCAACGCCACCCUUGUGGCUGGGUUUGGGGCAGGGCUUCGCCGCCGCGUCUCCGGCGGCCCCGGGUUCGUCCCUCUUCCUACCUGGUCGGGAUCCACCACCCCUACACCUCACCUUCGACGCCAUGGGAGUUCCCCAUCCACCAUGGUUGUCGCCGUCAAGGGCUUCUUCACGAAGAUGUGAAGGACGCCAUGGAUCUGCAGCUCCUUUUCUCCUCCACCACGGACGCCGCCUCACCCUUCCAAGCCAACAGGCACCCUACAAACGGGUCGGCCCACAGCUCCUCCGCUCCUCUGCCAUCUUGAGAUGCACCUGGAUCUGGCGAUUUCAGGGCCUUCAUGGCUUUAGAAUCGGCCUCUCGUUCGGGAUCAGUUUGGAUCUAGGACAAGCCAACCAUGCUGCUGCGCCAAGCUCCUCUUGAUAUAGUUUACAUGAAUGCUAUCCGGGAGAAGGCAAAUAUCAGGAGCAAAUAAAAUCAAUCCCUGUACAAAUAAAAACACUCCCUGCAAUCUAUCAUUUUUUUUGAGGAAUUAGCCACAUUAGAGUAGUUGAUACAUUGGAUGAGUAUUCAGAAGGUGCAGUCAAUUUGUCCUUUGGCAUCUAGCCCUCCUGUUGGUAUAAUAAUGCAAAUUGCCUUUUUUUUUAAAAAAAUGGUCCUUCAUUUCUUUUCUUUGAGUUAUCUGUGUAUCUUUUAAGCUUUUGCUAGGCGAGGAAAGGUGGACCAAGUAGUCUAGCAGAACCAAUUGCAUUUUUGGGGUAUUGGCUUCAGAUUGGAGUGGGAAGAAGACAUGGAUCCAUCACGGAAGGAGUAGAUGAAGACCAUGGAAAGGAGGAGUUACUAGGAGCAGAAUACUGGUGAGUUAACUUCGGUUUUCAGAAUUGAAGCUUCACUCAGGUGAAGUGGUUCCUUUGGACAUUGAUAUCUGCUGCAUAAUAUAUGUAGAUAAAGGAAAAUUGAAUUAAGAACUCAAUCGGAGCAGAGACCAUGAGUUGUGGACCAUAUAAUGUUGUCUGCUUCACUUUCAGUUUCUGUUGGGAAAAUUUGCAGAACCGGAUAAUGUCUCAACACUGACUAGAAGAAAGGAAGCCACAUAUAGCUGGGAGGAGGUGUUGUCGCCAGCCUCACGUUGAUGUGCGGUACUUGCGCCUCUCUGCUUCAUGUGGACA